rnacentral:rRNA from 1 species
CGGGUGAGUAAUGUAUGGGGAUCUGCCUGAUGGCGGGGGAUAACUACUGGAAACGGUAGCUAAUACCGCAUAAUGUCUACGGACCAAAGAGGGGGACCUUCGGGCCUCUUGCCAUCGGAUGUGCCCAGAUGGGAUUAGCUAGUAGGUGGGGUAACGGCUCACCUAGGCGACGAUCCCUAGCUGGUCUGAGAGGAUGACCAGCCACACUGGAACUGAGACACGGUCCAG